CGGCACGGGUGAGUAACACGUAUCCAACCUGCCGUCUACUCUUGGACAGCCUUCUGAAAGGAAGAUUAAUACAAGAUGGCAUCAUGAGUCCGCAUGUUCACAUGAUUAAAGGUAUUCCGGUAGACGAUGGGGAUGCGUUCCAUUAGAUAGUAGGCGGGGUAACGGCCCACCUAGUCUUCGAUGGAUAGGGGUUCUGAGUGGAAGGUCCCCCACAUUGGAACUGAGACACGGUCCAA
rnacentral:rRNA from 1 species